CCUACGGGAGGCAGCAGUGGGGAAUAUUGCUCAAUGGUGGAAACCCUGAUGCAGCAACGCCGCGUGAGUGAAGAAGUAUUUCGGUAUGUAAAGCUCUAUCAGCAGGGAAGAAGAAAGACGGUACCUGACUCAGAUGCCCCGGCUAACUACGUGCCCGCAGCCGCGGUAAUACGUAGGGGGCAAGCGUUAUCCGGAUUUACUGGGUGUAAAGGGCGCGUAGACGGCUGUGCAAGUCUGAAGUGAAAGCCCGUGGCUCAACCGCGGAACUGCGUUGGAAAAUGUAGAGUUAGAGUACUGGAGAGGCAGGCGGAAUGCCUGGUGUAGCGGUGAAAUGCGGAGAGAUUAGGAGGAACACCAGUGGCGAAGGCGGCCUGCUGGACAAAAACUGACGUUGAGGCUCGAAAGCGUGGGGAGCAAACAGGAUUAGAUACCCCUGUAGUC
rnacentral:rRNA from 1 species